CCUAUAUAGGAGUAAUAGCCAGAAGGAACGAGAACAGCUUUUGAUAGGUGGUGCUGAUUUUGUUGAGACUGUUAUCAGUAGAAUAGUUUCUGAUCCUAUUCAUGUAAUGGCUAGGAAAUUUCAUGAAAUGACAGGACAAUCUGCAUCUCUAGUGAAGGAGAGUAUUCGUGAGAUCAUGUUAAAUGUUGAUAAGCAAGGACAACUAUAUGCAUUUCAGAAUGCUUUGCAUAACAGGUCUGACUUAACCUUGGAUAUGCUACUGAAAUCCCAUCGUUUUCAAUUGGAAAUCUUGGUUGCUCUAAAAACUGGUCUUCGGGAAUAUCUUCAAGUAGACAAUAAUAUUUCAUCUUCUGAUUUGGCGGAGGUUUUCCUGAACUUAAGAUGUAGAAAUCUAGUCUGUCGAAGUCCUUUGCCUGUGGAUGAAUGUGAUUGCAAAGUUUGUGCAAGGAAGAAUGGUUUUUGUAGUGCAUGUAUGUGCCUUGUGUGUUCAAAGUUUGACAUGGCAUAUCAAACAUGUAGUUGGGUUGGGUGUGAUGUUUGUCUUCAUUGGUGCCAUGCUGAUUGUGCAUUGCGGAAGUCAUACAUUAGAAAUGGUAGGAGUGCUACUGUGGCUCAAGGAACUGGUGAGGUACAGUUUCAUCUGUGUUGCUUGUGAUCACCCCUCUGAGAUGUUUGGGUUUGUCAAGGAGGUUUUUCAGAACUUUGCAAAGACGUGGACAGCAGAAACAUUUUGCAAGGAACUUGAGUAUGUGAAGAGAAUUUUUAGUGCUAGCAAGGAUUUUAGGGGGAGGCAGCUGCAUGAAAUUGCUAAUCGGAUGCUAGAAAAAUUGGCAAAUAAGCAUAAUCUUUCUGAGGUUUAUAGUAAUAUCAUAGGCUUCUUGACCGAAACUGAUUCUUCCAAGUUUGGCAAUCCUUCAGUGUUCUCUGAGAAGGAACAAGGAAAUGGAAGCAAUGGGGGGAUUGCUGGGCCUAGCCAGGAUUCCUCGUGGCUCAAAUCACUUUAUUCAGAAAAAGCUCCAAAAUUGGAAAGAUCAACUAGCCUACUUCCUAGCUUUCAUACAGAUUUGAAUGAUAAACGACCUGUAGAGUCUGAGCCGGAGAGGAGUGCCCAAAAAGAACCCAUUUUUGAUGAACUGGAGAGCAUUGUGAGAAUUAAACAAGCAGAAGCUAAAAUGUUUCAGGCACGUGCUGAUGAUGCAAGAAGGGAAGCUGAUGGCCUGAAACUAAUUGCGAUUGCGAAGAAUGAGAAAAUUGAAGAAGAGUAUAGAAGCAGAAUCGCAAAACUGCGGUUUGCUGAGGCCGAGGAAAUGCGGAAACAAAAAUAUGAAGAAUUCCAGGCUUUGGAAAGAGCUCAUCGGGAAUACUUGAGUAUGAAGAUGAGGAUGGAAGAAGAUAUCAAGAAUCUGUUGUUGAAAAUGGAAGCUACAAAACGAAACCUUGCCAUAUGAUUCCCUAAUGAAUAGGGUUUUGCAUUAGAAAUGCUAUGUUCACAGGUAAAUCUUAGAAUCAAAAGUUGUUCGCUGUAAUUUCGAUGUAGCUGUGUCUUUUAAUCUAGUUUUUCUUUACUCUUUAUUUGUUUACUAUCCUUCCUUUCU
rnacentral:misc_RNA from 1 species